rnacentral:lncRNA from 1 species
UCAAGGCAUAGACUAGAGAUAAACUUGCAAGAACAUGAUUACUAAUAAGAAACGUGUCACACAGUCACAUACUUUAGCAGGGGGUAAACCAUAAAGAUAAUGAUAAUAAAGUAUAAGUUCAUGGGUAGAUAACACAGCGAUUAGAAAAUAGACUACUCCUCAUAUAUGUAGGUGAUGUCGGAUUAGCUAGAGAAUGGAUUCUAAGUUAUCUACUAACUACUAAGUCAUAAUCUACUCUAGUUAUCUACA